GUGGAUUAGAUACCCUGGUAGUCCACACCGUAAACGUUGGGCGCUAGGUGUGGGACUCAUUCCACGAGUUCCGUGCCGCAGCUAACGCAUUAAGCGCCCCGCCUGGGGAGUACGGCCGCAAGGCUAAAACUCAAAGGAAUUGACGGGGGCCCGCACAAGCGGCGGAGCAUGCGGAUUAAUUCGAUGCAACGCGAAGAACCUUACCUGGGUUUGACAUAUGCCGGAAAGCUCUGGAGACAGAGCCCCUUUUAGUCGGUAUACAGGUGGUGCAUGGCCGUCGUCAGCU
rnacentral:rRNA from 1 species